rnacentral:rRNA from 1 species
GCGAGUCUGAAUAGGGCGCAUAAGUAACAGGUCGUAGACCCGAAACCAGGUGAUCUACCCAUGUCCAGGAUGAAGGUAAGGUAAUACUUACUGGAGGUCCGAACCCACGCACGUUGAAAAGUGCGGGGAUGAGGUGUGGGUAGCGGAGAAAUUCCAAUCGAACUUGGAGAUAGCUGGUUCUCUCCGAAAUAGCUUUAGGGCUAGCCUCGAGGUAAAGAGUCAUGGAGGUAGAGCACUGUUUGGACUAGGGGCCCUUCUCGGGUUACCGAAUUCAGAUAAACUCCGAAUGCCAUGUACUUAUACUCGGGAGUCAGACUGCGAGUGAUAAGAUCCGUAGUCGAAAGGGAAACAGCCCAGACCACCAGUUAAGGUCCCCAAAUAUAUGUUAAGUGGAAAAGGAUGUGGGGUUGCUUAGACAACCAGGAUGUUGGCUUAGAAGCAGCCACCAUUGAAAGAGUGCGUAAUAGCUCACUGGUCGAGUGACCCCGCGCCGAAAAUGUACCGGGGCUAAACAUAUUACCGAAACUGUGGAUGAACCUCUUCGGAGGUUCGUGGUAGGAGAGCGUUCUAAGGGCGGUGAAGUCAGACCGGAAGGACUGGUGGAGCGCUUAGAAGUGAGAAUGCCGGUAUGAGUAGCGAAAGAAGGGUGAGAAUCCCUUCCACCGAAUAUCUAAGGUUUCCUGAGGAAGGCUCGUCCGCUCAGGGUUAGUCGGGACCUAAGCCGAGGCCGAUAGGCGUAGGCGAUGGACAACAGGUAGAGAUUCCUGUACCAGUGCUAAUUGUUUAACCGAUGGGGUGACACAGAAGGAUAGGGAAUCGCACGAAUGGAAAUGUGCGUCCAAGCAGUGAGUGUGAGAAGUAGGCAAAUCCGCUUCUUGCGAAGCAUGAGCUGUGAUGGGGAAGGAAAUUAAGUACGGAAGUUCCUGAUUUCACGCUGUCAAGAAAAGCCUCUAGGAAGAGUAGUACUGCCCGUACCGCAAACCGACACAGGUAGAUGAGGAGAGAAUCCUAAGGUGAGCGAGAGAACUCUCGUUAAGGAACUCGGCAAAAUGACCCCGUAACUUCGGGAGAAGGGGUGCUCUAUUAGGGUGCAAGCCCGAGAGAGCCGCAGUGAAUAGGCCCAGGCGACUGUUUAGCAAAAACACAGGUCUCUGCAAAACCGUAAGGUGACGUAUAGGGGCUGACGCCUGCCCGGUGCUGGAAGGUUAAGAGGAGUGCUUAGCUUCGGCGAAGGUACGAAUUGAAGCCCCAGUAAACGGCGGCCGUAACUAUAACGGUCCUAAGGUAGCGAAAUUCCUUGUCGGGUAAGUUCCGACCCGCACGAAAGGCGCAACGAUCUGGGCACUGUCUCAACGAGAGACUCGGUGAAAUUAUAGUACCUGUGAAGAUGCAGGUUACCCGCGACAGGACGGAAAGACCCCGUGGAGCUUUACUGCAACCUGAUAUGGAAUGUUUGUACCGCUUGUACAGGAUAGGUAGGAGCCGAAGAGACGUGUGCGCUAGCAUACGAGGAGGCAAUGGUGGGAUACUACCCUGGCUGUAUGACCAUUCUAACCCGCCACGCUAAGCGCGUGGGGAGACAGUGUCAGGUGGGCAGUUUGACUGGGGCGGUCGCCUCCUAAAGAGUAACGGAGGCGCCCAAAGGUUCCCUCAGAAUGGAUGGAAAUCAUUCGCAGAGUGUAAAGGCACAAGGGAGCUUGACUGCGAGACUGACAAGUCGAGCAGGGACGAAAGUCGGGCUUAGUGAUCCGGUGGUUCCGCAUGGAAGGGCCAUCGCUCAACGGAUAAAAGCUACCCCGGGGAUAACAGGCUUAUCUCCCCCAAGAGUCCACAUCGACGGGGAGGUUUGGCACCUCGAUGUCGGCUCGUCGCAUCCUGGGGCUGUAGUCGGUCCCAAGGGUUGGGCUGUUCGCCCAUUAAAGCGGCACGCGAGCUGGGUUCAGAACGUCGUGAGACAGUUCGGUCCCUAUCCGUCGCGGGCGCAGGAAAUUUGAGAGGAGCUGUCCUUAGUACGAGAGGACCGGGAUGGACACACCGCUGGUGUACCAGUUGUUCCGCCAGGAGCAUCGCUGGGUAGCUAUGUGUGGCAGGGAUAAACGCUGAAAGCAUCUAAGCGUGAAGCCCCCCUCAAGAUGAGAUUUCCCAUUUCUUCGGAAAGUAAGAUCCCUGAAAGAUGAUCAGGUAGAUAGGUUUGGAGUGGAAGUGUAGCGAUACAUGGAGCGGACAAAUACUAAUCGAUCGA